rnacentral:antisense_RNA from 1 species
GGUGAUUCAGGUCAUACACAUAUCAAAGCCAUAAAAAAAAAAAAGAAAAAAGCGAACGUGAGCCGCAGAUAUCUGUGUUACGGAGAGCCCAUCUUUCCUGCACCACCUGCACACCACAGAGCUCUAGUGUGUCUGUCUGAAAAAAGUCACAAUUGAACCUCAUUUAGCAGUGAGAGUAGACUUCGGUGAAAACUGGCAGGGCCUUAAAGGUGAUCCUUUAGAUCCAUGAAACACACUUGCACUGACUCCUGAAAGGCUGCCUCUGUUUAGGACCUAGUAAUAGGAGCCUGUGGGUAAAAGGCAAGUGGUAGCCCUAGCUCAUUCUCUAAUUUGAUUAAUCGUAAUUGCAGGUACUUGCUUUGCCUAUUAUCUCCCCAGCUCAUUGCCUGUAUGUCCUUCAGCCCAGCACUGCUAAGCAGGCACACAAAGAGGGUGCAGAAGUGCUCUCCCUGGUAGUAGUUUCUGUGCUCAUGGGUGCACUAUCAAAAUGAAACUGUGCCCACUCAGAAUUCUCAGUAGGAAAAGUUAAGCAGCAGUGUACUUUUGAUGACAAACAGGAACACACUGUCCAAACCAGCAAGCAGUGCAAGCUGCUUUGGAAAAGGCACAUCCACGCACGCCGAGUCUUUACCUAACGGCCAGAUUCCGUACAAUGUGAUGAGCUGUCUGACAUCUAGGAGGGAGGGCAUGGGUUCUAUGGAUACCUGGCGAAGAGUAGUCCCCAGGUAGCUGUACUCACCUGGAGAGAAAAGAAACAGAGGAACAAUAAAUGGAAAACAGCGCUGGUCUGAGCUGCAUAAUUUUGGCAUCUGCAAAAUGAUCGGAGAAUACAAAUUGAACAUUUCAGAGCAAAGAGAAUCCUAUCAGGAGAGUCAUUAUGAAGAACACACCUUUUCUCAGAUAGAGGUUUGAAGAAAAACUAUCCAGGUAAGAAAGCCCUGCUCUACUAGCUAGAGUAAACUGGGAAUUAUGUUGACUAUUAUAUUAACCUCCUAAUACUUUCUAAAACAACAUUUGAAUACUGAGUUAUGUGAAAUGGGACAAAGUGCUAAAAAGAAGGACACACAAAAAAGGCUGAAAUAUAGGGGGCUCUGCUUUAUUUAUAUUCCAAUAGAUUAUGUAUAACAUUUGUGCAAACUUUAAAAAUAAGUUAUUUAAGAUCGAUGUAGAAUUUGUAUUGGAGCAGUAUAAAUCUGAGUGUAAAAUGCAGUCAUUUGAAAGGAAGGGUAUGAGUCUAAUUUAGGAUAAAUAGAAACAUCUCCUUUUGAGGGUAAUAUUCAUUUACAUUUUUAUCAUUUUUAAGAUUACCAAAGGAAUAAUGCAGAAAUAAAUCUUUACAGGUUUAAUUAGAAGAUAUCAAAGGGCUUAAUUGUAACUAGUCAUAAAUCUGAAGUGUUAUUUUCUAACUAAUUUAGAUAAGGUCACCAAGAAAAUUAGUUUGGCUGUCUCCAUUUGUCAUGAGGAUGGACCUUUAUAGGUUCAUAUGAUUCUCUCUUGAUUUGUAUCUGAAUCUGGAAUAAAAAUAUUCAAUGAAUGAA